GGAGAGGUGGCAGAGUGGUCGAAUGCGGCGGUCUCGAAAACCGUUAUAGGGGCAACUCUAUCGAGGGUUCGAAUCCCUCCUUCUCCG
rnacentral:tRNA from 3 species